rnacentral:rRNA from 1 species
CGUGAGCGGCGGACGGGUGAGUAACGCUGGGUAACCUGCCUCAUACAGGGGGAUAACAGUUGGAAACGGCUGCUAAUACCGCAUAAGCGCACAGUACCGCAUGGUACGGUGUGAAAAACUCCGGUGGUAUGAGAUGGACCCGCGUCUGAUUAGGUAGUUGGUGGGGUAACGGCCUACCAAGCCGACGAUCAGUAGCCGACCUGAGAGGGUGACCGGCCACAUUGGGACUGAGACACGGCCCAA